rnacentral:misc_RNA from 1 species
CAAAAGCGGCGUUCGACGAAC